UGUCCCGUUCUGUACGCACCAUUUUCAAACAAACAAAACUAUCUGCUAUAAUGCUGGGCUUUUUUGCAGUGGCUCUUUAUUCUACAAAGGUAAAGUUUAGAGUACAUGCAAACCAAAUGGAUAAUCUCCAGGAUGCUCGAGCGUAUGCUACGAAAGUGAGUCAUGUCAGCAGUCUUUUCAACUUCAAUUCUGCGCAUCAUCUCCAGAAUGCUCGAGCGUAUGCUACGAAAGAGAGUCAUCUCAGCAUUCGUUUCGACCUCGAUUUUGUGCGUCAUCUCUGGAAUGCUCGAGCGUAUGCUACGAAAGAGAGUCAUCUCAGCAUUCGUUUCGACAUCGAUUUUGUGCGUCAUCUCUGGAAUGCUCGAGCGUAUGCUACGAAAGAGAGUCAUGUCAGCAUUCGUUUCGACAUCGAUUUUGUGCGUCAUCUCUGGAAUGCUCGAGCGUAUGCUACGAAAGAGAGUCAUCUCAGCAUUCGUUUCAACGUCGAUUUUGUGCGUCAUCUCCAGAAUGCUUGAGCGUAUGCUACGAAAGAGAGUCAUCUCAGCAUUCGUUAUAACGUCGAUUCUGUGGAUCAUCUCCAGAAUGCUCGAGCGUAUGCUACGAAAGUGAGUCAUGUCAGCAGUCUUUUCAACUUCAAUUCUGCGCAUCAUCUCUGGAAUGCUCGAGCGUAUGCUACGAAAGUGAGUCAUCUCAGCAUUCGUUUCGCUUUCGCCUUAAUUAAAUUAAAUUAACAAGUCAAGAAAUCUUUAAAAUUUUAAAUAAAAAAAUUUGACUUGCCAUUGUGUCUUUGCUUUUUUGUUAGUUUUUUGGAAAGGAAUACCAUUAGCUAAUAUUGGAGUUUGAAGUUUUUGUGUACAAAUUCUAUUUAAAAGUUUACAGCUCUAAGAGAUCCUGGAGUGGUGACCCGUCGGUAAGUCAGAACAUCGUUAAAAUCAGUAGUUAAAUGUUGUUAAAAACCCUUCCGCUCUCUUUGGGGUCCAGAUGACUCCAACCACAUAUGGAUGUGUGAUUCCUUCCAUGACAAAUGUGGAAAAAAGGUAGACAGAAUUUUAUGUCCGUCAUGGACAUUAGUGAAACUCAAAAGUCAAUGAUAAAAAAAGUUCAGCGCACUGUCUUGUGGGGUCCAGAUGACCCCACUUUUAAUGUAAACAGGCCAAGGAGAGUGGAAGGGUUACAUAAAUUCUGAAAGGCGAGGCUGUUUCUCCUUUGGAUGUGUGGUGUCCAUGCAACUGUGAGAACGAUUUGUUUAAAUAUUUAAGUUUCUACUAAUCUAACUUGCACUGGAUCAAUCCUUUGUUCAGGUAAGGCACAAUAACUCCUAUAUCUGCUUUGGUUGUGCAGCAUAAAAUACUUUUGGUUGAUUAAUACUUGCAAUAAGGAGACACUUCUUGGCAAUCAUGAUUUGAUGUGAAUGUGGAUUUCAUUCUGCUCUCCAAAAGUGUGUAUGAUUACAGAGAAGUGAGUUUUUAUGCUGAGAGUGGAGAAAGGACACGAUGAAACCCGGAGGUCCAUGGGAAGCAACAGUGCGAGCCAGUUUGAUCAAGAACAGGAACAGCUGUUUUCUGCAACUGAAGGAUCACAAGUAACAUCGUUCUGUUCUGAUGAAGACGGAAAUGAAAGAGAUGAAAGAGGAGGAUUGCAAGAACAUGACUUGGUCAUGAUCAACGACUUUGACCUGUUUACUGGUCAAGAAGGGCGCGAGACUGAGAAUCUGGGCAGAGAAGAUUGGGACUAGAACAAAGUUUGUGAAAAAAAACACACAAAUUGGAGUGUAAUGCUAUAUGAUCACUGUUGAACUCUGCAUAUUUUGCAGAUCAUUUUACAUGUUUUUGUUUUCAAAAUACUUUUGCUUUGUUUUGUUUUAGGCGAUGCAUCUGUAUUCAUAUGUACCCUGUGUGGUUACUGCUGGACGGCGCCAGAGUAGCAAUAUAAUUUUUCCCGUAUCUAAUUAACAGUCUAAUCAAAAAUCAAAGGGUCUGUUCGCCGACGGGUUUUUUCGAUAUUGCACAUAUGAGUUAUAGGUGCAUGCCUAGUUUUACAUCAUCGGUUGAGUCCAGUGAGGUAAUACAGUGAGCAGCUGACGGACAAAAUAAGUAAUGCGUUAGUGUAUAUUUUACAGUUACAUUGGAGUAUACCCUUUUGGUUGUUAAGUCAGUAGUAUUUUGCAGUUUUUUAUUUUUACAACUCACAUCUUGUUACUCAUCAGUAUUAUUUUUAUAUUUAUUUCGUGCCAGUACUUGCUUACCAGCAUUCUUUGGUUAACACUCACUCAUUUUUGUGUUAUUUAAUGUUACUCAUUCUGGAUCAGUACCUAAAGUGUUUUUGUAUAUCUGUCUGGUGUUACUGGCAAAUUUUAUGGACUGGGGUUGGAUCGCUAAAUGGGUUAACUCUCUAUACAAGUUUUCUCAAUAAGUGUUGUGACCAUUAUUUCCAGGUAGAUUUCCCGCUGGGCCCCACCACUGAGAUUGGCCAAGACACACAUGGUUUUGUUAUUAUGGGAAAAAAGUAAAAUGUGCUAAGAAUGACGUCCCCCAGUCUAUAAAAGUUAUGGGUAACAGAAAAUUGGGGCUUCUUCUUGACUGGGUUUGAAUUUGUUUGGGAUGCCGAGAUCUUCUGUUUAUUUCUUGAAUAAACAGACCCUUUGAACAGAA